GCUGGGCACAGUGGCGUGUGCCUGUAGUCCCAGCUACUCGGGAGGCUGAGGUAGGAGAAUCGCUUGAACCCAGGAGGAGAGGGCUGUACAGUGAGCCAACAUCACACUACUGCACUCCUGCCUGGGUGACAGAGCCAGACUCUGUCUCAA
ensembl:misc_RNA Metazoa_SRP Metazoan signal recognition particle RNA